CCUGUCCACAGCCCUACUAAAGCAAAACAAAUGGACCCAAAAAAUUAAAAAUAAAAAUCAAAUCUUCAAUUUCCUUCUAAGAUUGCAAAUAAUGCAAUUCCUAAUCUUUCUUCCUCCUCAACAUUGAUUCUCUUGACUCAGAUGAUACAGAAAGGGUGGACUUUUGCACAGACUCCUCAUAACUUUACGUCACCCGGUCUCAAUCUUAGCUUCUCUUUAAUCUCUUCUUUUUCUUUCACUGUAUGGUAUUUCUUAUGUAUUUGCUGAAGAAUUUGCAAACAAAUCUAGUUCAGUUGUGGAGAAUCUGAAACAAACACAGUCCGUUUUUGUGAAUCUGUAACAGACCCAGUUCUCUGAAUUCUGGGGAAUCUUAAAUUAAAUUCAGUAUGUUGGUUCUUUGUCUCUUCUAAUGUGUUUCCAUUAGAAGCAACAACUGAAGAAUCUAGAACAAAGUUUCAAUUUCAGAUUUGUUUUGCUAUGAAUUGGUUUAAUUCUGCUGGUAAUUAGAUCUUUUUGCUUCUCCUUACAUGUACAUACAAUUUUGAGUUGCCUGAUAAAGCUGUAAAUAAUAAUUGGAAGUAUUAUGUUGCCUGAGUUGUGUGGUUCAAGCUUGCUUCUAGCUCUGCCGGAUGAUGUGUUUGCUAUUAUAUCGCGUUCACUUUCUCCGAAAGACAUAUGUAAUCUCAGUCUUUGUUGCCGGAGUUUGUGUACUCUGGUGGCCUCUGAGAAAGUUUGGCUCACCCAAUGUGACAUGGUAGGAAUCCUUCCUCAUAAGGAUCUUAUUGACUGGCGAAAGGGCGUGUCUUCUUACAAAGCUCUUUGUCGCUUCCUUGUUAGCGUUAAACCAUUACUUGGAAUUUGGGUUCAUCAAAACCCUGAGCUAGGUAAUGUGGUGUAUGUCAUGCCUGGUUUUAUGUCUGUUGUUGGAUGUAGAAUAAUACCUCAGGAGCUCGGCCCUUUAGGAAUUGAGGACGGCCCUAUACUAUGGUCGCCGGUGUUUGAAAUAAUAGGGGAUCUUGAUGGUUCUGUUUUAUUCUUUCUACAUGGAAGAGAAAACGGAACUGACUAUGUUUAUCCUGGUUCAGUCAAGCCUGUUGAGCAGAAUUGCAAUGUAUUAUUGCUUGAGGUUGAGCCUGGACAACAGAAGAAGGGGAAUGUAUUAUUGCAAAGUAAAAGCUUUGCCUAUAAUACAGAUGAGCAAAUUUCAAGAAAGCUUUCUAGGUCAAGUAGUGAAUUGCCAAGGUCUCAGAGGAUGCUUGGACAGGGCGAUGUUAAGGUGCCUUUUAGCCGCUUGGGUUUUAGUGACCGAAGAAAGUUGAUUGAGGUUGUCACUACCCAUGUUCGCCAAAAUGUACCUGAUUCAGCAAAUGGGCCAGUAUUUCCCAGGUUGAGGAGUGAUGAGGAAAACUUUGAGAAAGAUAUGGUAUUCUUAUUUGAAAGAAGAUCUGUGCUUAUCCAAAUGUAUGAGCUUGGUGGGAGUUGUAUUGACUGGAAGGAAUCUCCUGAACUGCCUUCUGAUCCUACACAACUGCAAUUGAGAGAGAUUAGAAGGAGUAUUGAUUGUUCAAGUGGAUUUCAUAGUUCUCUCAAUGGGGAUGGUCACACAAAAUCUAUCAUGAAGAAAAGUCUUGGUGGGUAUUUUAGAGCUAGCUUUAGACAAAUUUUGGGGAAGUCUCCCUCUAUUAAUGGCAGCCGCACACUUUCGAAAAAUAAUUCUUCAAGCAGUGAGAAUAAGCAUGCACAGCUUCACGAGUUCUUGAGAUCAGGUGACACAAUAGGAUUGACGCUACAUGCAUCUACAGUAAGGUUAUCUUCUUAUCGAGCAUGGCCAAAUAUGCAUGAUAGUCGGUUUGCCCUGUACAAGUUACCCAUGUGGGUUCCGAGAGCUGACCAAGAGUAUGCUGGUCUAUGGGGGGGAACUUUUGGUUGGCCUCCAGGGAAGCCUACUGAAGAUAAGCCUGGAAAAGCUCUCUUUUUUCUUUUGAUCUCUUAUGAGGAGUCUGAUGUGCAGCGGCUGCUCAUUGCUACCAAAAUAUUGGAAGGCACGCACUAUGUUCUUCAUCCAAAUGGCUCAGCAAUGUUUAUAGCUAAUAUUGAUGAACCAUCACAUGAUCCAUUUCCUUGGGAUAUUGAUGCAGAUUCCACUCCCGUGAGUGUAAAACAUGCAUUUGCAGGCGAGGGUAUAGCAAAUGGAUAUGGUUUCCGAUAUCCUGGCUCAAAGCCUGGUUCCCUUUUCGUUAUUCAAAAUGGUCUUCUUGCCUUCAUUUGGAAGGAAUCCAGAGCUGUCUUGACCAUGCAGAGAUUGAACCUGCAAGAGCUUUUGAAAAAGGGUGAACAGGUGCCUGCUCUACCUCCAAUUGCCAACUUUUCAUAUUUGACCAAGUCCUACUCAAAUGUGUUUGCUGGCUUCUCAAAUGCCUCAACCUGUUUAUCAUCACCAAGCUAGGAUUUUGUCUCUUGAAGGUUGAGAAUGAAUUAUAACCUUAUGGUUUUAUGGGUUAUACACUAGCUUUGCUCUUGCCGUGGAGGAGAGAAUGAGCUUUGCAGUUUCUACUUAAAAGAGUUACCCUGGGUAUCUCAUGUUAAAGAUACCAUGAUAAUCAAAACAUGAAAAUAUAUAUGAAUUUUUUUAAGACGUCUUGAUUUUGCUGUUUGGAUAUUCAUGAAAUGUCCAUAGAAGGGAAAGACACUAAUACAAAAUUUAUAUGUUUUGAAACCAAAGCACGAGGACCAAAGGGUUGCUGCAGGACCUUUGAUAUGGUUGCUUAUAUAAAGUUUGAGCAGGCAUUCUCAGUAGCUGUUGAUGAUCAAAUUCCGGUACCCAUUUUGUUGUUUUGCUGAUGAUGAGUGCUUCCCAGUGAUGUUCAGUUGUCUAAUAAAUCAUAUCUCUCGAAUGACAAAUGUUAAGGUGAUUCUUAUGUAUUCUGUAAUAGAAUUUUAAUUAGGUUUAGAUUAUCUUUAUGACAAUGAACAUUGGGUAUAAGUAUCUCAGUUAAAUUAGACGAUUCAGUGUACUUAAGAUAAGAGAUUGAAUGAAGCAUCUAAAAAUGCAUUUGAACUAUAGAAGAGGAAAAGGAACAUUCCUGUACUAAUUAUUUUAUUUUUAUACUUAUCUGGGGCUGGGGAAUGCUCUGUAGUUGUACUCCAAACUACUUAUGUUUGGCAUUUUUCUUAUAUUACAUACAUAUCACCAAACACUGUCUGGUGUCAUCAGAA